rnacentral:rRNA from 1 species
UACGUAGGGUGCAAGCGUUGUCCGGAAUUAUUGGGCGUAAAGAGCUCGUAGGCGGUCUGUCGCGUCUGCUGUGAAAACUCGGGGCUUAACCCCGGGCCUGCAGUGGGUACGGGCAGACUAGAGUGCGGUAGGGGAGACUGGAAUUCCUGGUGUGGCGGUGAAAUGCGCAGAUAUCAGGAGGAACACCGGUGGCGAAGGCGGGUCUCUGGGCCGUAACUGACGCUGAGGAGCGAAAGCGUGGGGAGCGAACAGG